UACGUAGGGUGCAAGCGUUGUCCGGAAUUAUUGGGCGUAAAGAGCUCGUAGGCGGUUUGUCGCGUCUGCCGUGAAAGUCCGGGGCUCAACUCCGGAUCUGCGGUGGGUACGGGCAGACUAGAGUGAUGUAGGGGAGACUGGAAUUCCUGGUGUAGCGGUGAAAUGCGCAGAUAUCAGGAGGAACACCGAGCGAAGGCGGUGUCUGGGCAAUUACUGCUGAGGAGCGAAAGCCAGGUGGGAGCAAACAGG
rnacentral:rRNA from 1 species